rnacentral:rRNA from 1 species
AGUGAACGCUGGCGGUAGGCCUAACACAUGCAAGUCGAACGGCAGCACAGUAAGAGCUUGCUCUUACGGGUGGCGAGUGGCGGACGGGUGAGGAAUACAUCGGAAUCUACUUUUUCGUGGGGGAUAACGUAGGGAAACUUACGCUAAUAUCGCAUACGACCUACGGGUGAAAGCAGCGGAUCUUCGGACCUUGCGCGAUUGAAUGAGCCGAUGUCGGAUUAGCUAGUUGGCGGGGUAAAGGCCCACCAAGGCGACGAUCCGUAGCUGGUCUGAGAGGAUGAUCAGCCACACUGGAACUGAGACACGGUCCAGACUCCUACGGGAGGCAGCAGUGGGGAAUAUUGGACAAUGGGCGCAAGCCUGAUCCAGCCAUACCGCGUGGGUGAAGAAGGCCUUCGGGUUGUAAAGCCCUUUUGUUGGGAAAGAAAAGCAGCAGGUUAAUACCCCGCUGUUCUGACGGUACCCAAAGAAUAAGCACCGGCUAACUUCGUG